CAGAGGUACUAGAGCAAACUGCCCCUGUGUUAACAGGGACAGGGCUGGUGGCAGGCCGUUGCCUGUGCAUGGUCGUUGGCUCUGAAGCAUACUCCUUUAUUGUUUGGGCAGAGCUUGGCUUUGUUAUUUAGAGGGCCCCACUGCAAAGCUCAUCUGUUUCCCGGGCCAUUUGUUGAGGUGCUGGGUGGACUGAUGCGGGUAGUCAGAGAGGUGUGGGGUUGUUAUUAUUUUGGGUGAAGGUUAUUUUCGACUGGGUUGCUCAGUUCUGGUGAGGUUCACACAAUCAAAAAUGGGCCAAGGCAAUGAAGGGUUUGUGUCAUCUCACUGUGUAUUUGUUUAAUGCCUCCUCUACUUUCCAUUGCAGUUCAUAUGCUGAUACGCAGAGGUUUAAUUUCCAACUGCUUGUUGCCUAACACAGUUCCAGGAUGCUGCUGAGAUUUACCCUUAGAUCAUACGGGCAGUUUCCAGUCAGUGCACAUCAGGACAUAAAAUGAAGGGAGAGCGCUUUCCCAGGCUCUAUUUGAUACCAUUGAGUGCUCUCAGAGUCAGUGAACUGUGACUCAUUUCUUAUGAAGAAUACUAAUGAUAAUUUGCAUUUCUGCACCACUUUUCAGGCAGAUGGCCCCAAAUAUUUUCCUAAGCAGGCAAGGAUGAAUGAGGGGAGUCAAGAAGGUUGCACACAGAAGCAGACCAUGAAAAACAGUACAAGAAAAGAGGUCUUUGGUGAGAUCAUUUCCCUGUUUCAUCGGAUGAUGAGAAAAUUAAGGCACAGGUACUCAGGCUCCUGUGGAACUGUAGCAGAGUUUCAUCAAAGCUUUCUCUAAUAAAAAGUAGAGAUGUUCAAAUCA